GAUGAAGAACGUAGCGAAAUGCGAUAAGUAAUGUGAAUUGCAGAAUUCAGUGAAUCAUCGAAUCUUUGAACGCACAUUGCGCCCGCCAGUAUUCUGGCGGGCAUGCCUGUUCGAGCGUCAUUACAACCCUCAGGCCCCCGGGCCUGGCGUUGGGGAUCGGCGGAGCCCCCCGUGGGCACACGCCGUCCCCGAAAUACAGUGGCGGUCCCGCCGCAGCUUCCAUCGCGUAGUAGCUAACACCUCGCGACUGGAGAGCGGCGCGGCCACGCCGUAAAACACCCAACUCUUCUGAAGUUGACCUCGAAUCAGGUAGGAAUACCCGCUGAACUUAAGCAUAUCAAUAAGCGGAGGA
rnacentral:misc_RNA from 1 species